rnacentral:rRNA from 1 species
AUAUGGUAGGAGAGCGUUCUGUAAGCCUGCGAAGGUGUCUUGUAAAGGAUGCUGGAGGUAUCAGAAGUGCGAAUGCUGACAUGAGUAGCGAUAAUGGGGGUGAAAAGCCUCCACGCCGUAAGCCCAAGGUUUCCUGUUCAACGUUCAUCGGAGCAGGGUGAGUCGGCCCCUAAGGCGAGGCAGAGAUGCGUAGCUGAUGGGAAGCAGGUUAAUAUUCCUGCACCGUCGUAUGAUGCGAUGGGGGGACGGAUCGCGGAAGGUUGUCUGACUGUUGGAAUAGUCAGUUUCUGUCUCAUAGAAGGCGCUUAGGCAAAUCCGGGCGCAGGAUUCAAGGGGAUGGGACGAGUGAAUUUAUUCACGAAGCAAUCGGAAGUGGUUCCAAGAAAAGCCUCUAAGCUUCAGUCAUACGAGACCGUACCGCAAACCGACACAGGUGGGCGAGAUGAGUAUUCUAAGGCGCUUGAGAGAACUCGGGAGAAGGAACUCGGCAAAUUGGUACCGUAACUUCGGGAAAAGGUACGCCCCGGUAGCUUGAUUGGUUUACUCCAUGAGGGUGAAAGGGUUGCAAUAAACUGGUGGCUGCGACUGUUUAAUAAAAACACAGCACUCUGCAAACACGAAAGUGGACGUAUAGGGUGUGACGCCUGCCCGGUGCUGGAAGAUUAAAUGAUGGGGUGCAAGCUCUUGAUUGAAGUCCCAGUAAACGGCGGCCGUAACUAUAACGGUCCUAAGGUAGCGAAAUUCCUUGUCGGGUAAGUUCCGACCUGCACGAAUGGCGUAACGAUGGCCACACUGUCUCCUCCCGAGACUCAGCGAAGUUGAAAUGUUUGUGAUGAUGCAAUCUACCCGCGGCUAGACGGAAAGACCCCAUGAACCUUUACUGUAGCUUUGCAUUGGACUUUGAACCAAUCUGUGUAGGAUAGGUGGGAGGCUUUGAAGCGGGGACGCUAGUUCUCGUGGAGCCAACCUUGAAAUACCACCCUGGUUUGUUUGAGGUUCUAACCUUGGUCCGUUAUCCGGAUCGGGGACAGUGCAUGGUAGGCAGUUUGACUGGGGCGGUCUCCUCCUAAAGUGUAACGGAGGAGUUCGAAGGUACGCUAGAUACGGUCGGACAUCGUGUUGAUAGUGCAAUGGCAUAAGCGUGCUUAACUGCGAGACUGACAAGUCGAGCAGGUACGAAAGUAGGACAUAGUGAUCCGGUGGUUCUGUAUGGAAGGGCCAUCGCUCAACGGAUAAAAGGUACUCUGGGGAUAACAGGCUGAUUCCUCCCAAGAGUUCAUAUCGACGGGGGAGUUUGGCACCUCGAUGUCGGCUCAUCACAUCCUGGGGCUGUAGCCGGUCCCAAGGGUAUGGCUGUUCGCCAUUUAAAGUGGUACGUGAGCUGGGUUUAAAACGUCGUGAGACAGUUUGGUCCCUAUCUGCCGUGGGCGUUGGAAAUUUGAAGGGGGCUGCUCCUAGUACGAGAGGACCGGAGUGGACGAACCUCUGGUGUACCGGUUGUCACGCCAGUGGCAUUGCCGGGUAGCUAAGUUCGGAAGAGAUAACCGCUGAAAGCAUCUAAGCGGGAAACUUGCCUUGAGAUGAGAUUUCCCAGAGCCUUGAGCUCUUUGAAGGGUCGUUCGAGACCAGGACGUUGAUAGGCUGGGUGUGGAAGUGCAGUAAUGCAUUAAGCUAACCAGUACUAAUUGCCCGUACGGCUUGUCCCU